GCGGUGAAAUGCAUAGAUAUUACAUAGAACACCGAUUGCGAAGGCAGGUCACUAACCAUAUACUGACGCUGAUGGACGAAAGCGUGGGGAGCGAACAGGAUUAGAUACCCUGGUAGUCCACGCCGUAAACGAUGGAUACUAGCUGUCCGGGUCCUUGAGACCUGGGCGGCCAAGCGAAAGUGAUAAGUAUCCCACCUGGGGAGUACGUUCGCAAGAAUGAAACUCAAAGGAAUUGACGGGGGCCCGCACAAGCGGUGGAGCAUGUGGUUUAAUUCGAUGAUACGCGAGGAACCUUACCAGGGCUUAAAUGCAGAUUGACAGGUCUAGAGAUAGAUUUUCCUUCGGGCAAUUUGCAAGGUGCUGCAUGGUUGUCGUCAGCUCGUGCCGUGAGGUGUCAGGUUAAGUCCUAUAACGAGCGCAACCCCUACCGUUAGUUGCCAGCGAGUCAUGUCGGGGACUCUAACGGGACUGCCGGUGCAAACCGUGAGGAAGGUGGGGAUGACGUCAAAUCAUCACGGCCCUUACGUCCUGGGCCACACACGUGCUACAAUGGUCGGUACAGAGAGCAGCCAUGUCGCAAGGCAGAGCGAAUCUAUAAAACCGAUCACAGUUCGGAUCGGGGUCUGCAACUCGACCCCGGAAGC
rnacentral:rRNA from 1 species